rnacentral:lncRNA from 1 species
AAAUCUGCCUCAACAUUUGGAUCUUCAGAAUCAAGGAAAAGGAAUCUUCUUUUAUAUACACUAAACCAAAAGACAUUAUUUGGGAAGUAAAUCAAAAGCUACCUUCUUGAACAAGAUUUCAAGUCUGGGGAAGUAUUUGCAAGGUUUUAGGGAAGAAAUGCUUUCCCCCAGUUACCUGAUGGCACAAACAAAACGGACCCAUUCUAGAGCCAAGAAGAGCCAAAGAAGGAAAGCCACAGGCCCUAAAAGCACAGCAGACAUCACACCUUUACCUUGCCUAAGAAGAACUGGACCGAUAAAGGUCAAACUCCUGCCA